rnacentral:ribozyme from 1 species
AACAAACAAACAAACAAAGGAUGAACGAAUGAAUCAAUGCCGCUUCUUCUUCUUCUUUUUCCUUCUUUCUUUUCAUUUCACUACUUUUUGUUCGUCUGUUCUUCUGUUUGUUUUUGUUUUGGGGGUUAAACGUCGCUUUGAGAUUUCAUUUUCACAGAUGCAAAAAUAAAAGUG